UACGAAGGGGGCUAGCGUUGCUCGGAAUCACUGGGCGUAAAGCGCACGUAGGCGGAUCUUUAAGUCAGGGGUGAAAUCCUGGAGCUCAACUCCGGAACUGCCUUCGAUACUGCGGGUCUCGAGUCCGGGAGAGGUGAGUGGAACUGCGAGUGUAGAGGUGAAAUUCGUAGAUAUUCGCAAGAACACCGGUGGCGAAGGCGGCCAUCUGGACCGGAACUGACGCUGAGGCGCGAAAGCCAGGGGAGCGAAUGGG
rnacentral:rRNA from 1 species